UCUCGAUUCAAAUUUCAGUUGUAAUAUCUCAAAUAUGACAGUCACAGAGAUUUCUUUAGUGUUGUUCAUGGCGAGCGUUAUUCAAGCCACAAUAACUGUCGACAGAGUAGAAAUGUGCGACCCUUCGGUAGAUUAUCCCAUAAAAUGGAUGCUAAAACUGAAAAACGACAAGAAUGGGCAAGUUAUAGAAGAAGGACGUCUUACCUCAAGAAUAGAUCUGGACAACAAUAUUCUGG